UACGAAGGGGGCUAGCGUUGCUCGGAAUCACUGGGCGUAAAGGGUGCGUAGGCGGGUCUUUAAGUCAGGGGUGAAAUCCUGGAGCUCAACUCCAGAACUGCCUUUGAUACUGAGGAUCUUGAGUACGGGAGAGGUGAGUGGAACUGCGAGUGUAGAGGUGAAAUUCGUAGAUAUUCGCAAGAACACCAGUGGCGAAGGCGGCUCACUGGCCCGUAACUGACGCUGACGGCACGAAAGCGUGGGGAGCAAACAGG
rnacentral:rRNA from 1 species